rnacentral:misc_RNA from 1 species
CCUAGGUCUUGAUGGGAUCUUGCCAUUACAUCAUUCGGUAACAAGUCUUGUAGUGAACCAGUCGCGAUGUGGAAGUCAAAAGUAUUUGUAUUGGUUGCUGUGGCUUUCGUGUGCUCCCUCGCCGGUAUUCCGAAUGCAGAACAUCCUAACUACUCUAAUGAACCAUGUGACAGCGCAAGUGAAGAACUUUCUAACUGCGCCAACGCAGUCUGCGCACAUCAGUUUUGUUCUGAGAGAACUUUAACAAUUGGUUGUCCGGGGGUAACUGAAUGUGACAAAGGGUGCAUUUGCAAGCCUGACUACUAUAGAGACGUAAAUGGAAUCUGCGUGCCUGAAAACCAAUGUUCCAUAGGGCCACAAUGCGGUGAAAAUGAAGAGUACACGCCGUGCAAGCAAAAACUUUGCAGACCAUAUUAUUGCGGUGAUGCUACGUCACCGUGCAACCCAGAAGACGUUAAGGAUGAUGAUUGUUCGGCCGAUUGCGUUUGCAAAGAAAACUAUGCAAGAAGCACUACGACUGGUUUCUGCGUGCCUUUAAGCGAAUGCUGACAUCUGUACUUAAAGUUUUUUUAAUUUCCUAACAUUUAGUACAAUAAUUUGCAAAUUAUAAAUGAAAGAAAAUAAAAACAUUUUUGAAGUAGAUACCUAACAUUUAUUUGUUACCUGAAACAUGUCUAUGCGAAAUGAUGAAUGGUGAUGAUGUACUACGAAAAUGUCACAGGAGACGUUCUAAUUCCUCAAAUUAUAGCAGCCAAUGACACUCAUUCUGGUUCUUCAAAUUUUUCAGACAUAGGUAAAAAAGGAAAUUAGCCCAGAAUCAGAAAUAUCUUCAAGCUUGUCAAGAGACCUCAGGCCACUUGUAAAGGUCAUCGUGAGGAGACCAACAUUCCCGAUAAAUACGUUUUGAAGGCUGGUUUUGCCUUUGUGGGUUGAAAACUCAGACAGCCAGUCAUACCCCCAAGCUUUAUCCCGUUUUCCCAGGGUCCGUUUACCUAACCUAAGAAUUUAACAGGUCCGGUCUUUUACAGAAGGGACUGCUUGUCUGACCUUCCAACUUGAAGGGAAAACCAGCUCGAUAUAUAUUAGAUCACACAGCUUUGACGCGCAUUUCUCGGUAAUGUAGGUUACUUAACGAUUUCAGACAGGCAGUCGUUUCUGUGAUAAACCGGAUCUGUUAAAUCUUAAGGUUAGGUUAGACACGGGAUAAUGCUAAGGAGAUGAAGACAAAUGUAUUGCUCAAAACCAUACGGCAUUUAUAAUGUAUUAGGUAUAAAAUAUGCCAUCACCCGAGCACGAUCUUUCAGCAAUAGGUGGACUUCAAUCAAUCUGCAAUAUAACGUGCUGGCUGUGAUUUAGGUACUUAAAACUUACAUAACUGGUUAGUAUAUUGGGGCUUUAAAUUAUAAAUAAUGCAUUGUUAUUCACGAUACCAAUGGCAGCUUUUUAAAACGUUACCAGCAUUUAUACUAGUUACUUAUCACAAAUAAUGAAAAACGAUCUAUUUAUGACAUAAAUACAUAACACAAAAUACGGUUGGUAUAUGGAACCGAUAUCUCAUAUAAAUAACAUUGAAAAAACUGUAUUUUCCGGUUGUCUAUUAAGUCAAAAGUUAAGCAAAACAAAAGUUAAAUAAAAACACGUUUUCUUGUAAGUAAGCAUAAACAAUAAUACACUUGGCUUCAUGAUAUGUGAUAUUAGGGUAAAGUUGCCAACAGAGAUUGCGGUCCACAAUAUAAAAAAUGGCGUUUGAUAAUUUUUGCUGACGUCAUAAUUAAUUAUUUCAUACAACGAACGGACAAAUCCCAACCGAACCGUCGUAUCUGUUUAAAAUGUCUUUUUUUCUGAACUUGAAAAAAUAAUUCAUAAAUCAGGACAUUUUUAUAGAUUACAAGUACAAGCACCUUAGAAUCAAAUUAAAAUCAACCAAAAAAAUAUGUGUCUCCACGUAUAUAACGUGAUGGGCUCUUGUUAUUAUGCCAUUCCGUAACAAGUCUAGCAGUGGAUCAGUCGCGAUGUGGAAAUCAAAAUUAUUUAUAUUGAUUGCUUUGGCUUUUGUGUGCGCCCGCGCCGGUGUUCCGGUUGAGUAUGAACCUACCUACUCAGAUGAGCCUUGUGACAGCGAAACCGAACAAUAUUCGGAUUGCGCCAACGCACAUUGUGGAAAUCAGCUAUGUUCUACGAAAACGCUAGGUGUUUUCUGUCCGUCUGUAACUGCAUGUGACAAAGGCUGCCUUUGCAAGUUUCAGUACUUGAGAAACGUAAACGGGACCUGCGUACCUGAAGAAAAGUGUUCCAUAGGGCCAUAAAGCGAUGAAAAUGAAGAGUUCACGCCGUGCAAGCAAAAACUUUCCAGACCAAAUUAUUGCGGUGACGUCACCUCACCAUGCAACCCAGAAGACGUUAAGGAUAAUGAUUGUUCGGCCGAUUGUGUUUGCAAAGAAAACUAGGCAAGAAGUACGUCUGGUUUCUGCGUGCCUUUAAGCGAAUGCUGACCUGAAAACUUACAGUUUUUUUUAAUUUAAUUACAUUACAUACAAUAAUUUGUAAAUUUUAAUGUCAGAAAAUAAACACAUUUUUGAAGUA